AAAACAUCCAUAUAGCUAAGUUUAUUUUUCUAUUGAAUGAAGUGAAUAGCAUGCUUUCUUUAAAAAAAAAAAAAAAUCUCUUAGCCUCCGUUUGGUUGGGGAUUAAGGGAUGGAAUAACCCUUAAACCCUAUUUUAUCUCCAAACAUUUUUAAAAAUAGGUGGGGUUAGCUAACCCCAGCUAAUCCCACCUCAAAUGGAUUAUUCCGGAUUAGCUAACCCCACCUAACCUCAUCAAAUCCCAACUAAACAUUAUUUUCUAUUCAUAAUAACCCACUAUCCUUCUUAUCCCACCUACUCCAACUAAAUACUAUUUUUCACUAUCCUGAACUAACUCCAACCCCCAACCAAAUACAAAAAUACUCUAAUCCCAUAUUAACCAUAAACUUAACCCUAUUUUUAGAAUAACUAGUUUUUUCUUAACCCCGAACCAAACGGUAGCUUAGAAAAAAAGA
rnacentral:lncRNA from 1 species